rnacentral:rRNA from 1 species
AUGUAUAGGAUCUACCUAGUAGUACGGAAUAAUUGUUGGAAACGGCAACUAAUACCGUAUACGCCCUACGGGGAAAAAUUUAUUGCUAUUAGAUGAGCCUAUAUUAGAUUAGCUAGUUGGUGGAGUAAUAGCCUACCAAGGCAAUGAUCUAUAGCUGAUCUGAGAGGAUGAUCAGCCACACUGGAACUGAGAUACGGUCCAGACUUCUACGGGAGGCAGCAGUGGGGAAUAUUGGGCAAUGGGCGAAAGCCUGAUCCAGCCAUGUCGCAUGAGUGAAGAAGGCCUUUGGGUUGUAAAGCUCUUUUAGUGAGGAAGAUAAUGACGGUACUCACAGAAGAAGUCCUGGCUAACUCCGUGCCAGCGGCCGCGUUAAUACGGAGAGGGCUAGCGUUAUUCGGAAUUAUUGGCCGUAAAGGGCGCGUAGCCUGAUUAAUAAGUUAAAAGUGAAAUCCCGAGGCUUAACCUUGGAAUUGCUUUUAAAACUAUUAAUCUAGAGAUUGAAAGAGGAUAGAGGAAUUCCUGAUGUAGAGGUAAAAUUCGAAAAUAUUAGGAGGAACACCAGUGGCGAAGGCGUCUAUCUGGUUCAAAUCUGACGCUGAGACGCGAAGCCGGGGGCAGCAAAACGGGAUUAGAUACCCUGGUAGUCCACGCUGUAAACGAUGAAUGUAAAAUAAGGGAAGUUUUACCUUUCUGUAUAACAGCUAACGCGUUAAACAUUCCGCCUGGGGACUACGGUCGCAAGAUUAAACUCAAAGGAAUUGACGGGGACUCGCACAAGCGUGCAGCAUGUGGUUAAAUUCGAUGUACGCGAAAAAACCUUACCACUUCUUGACAUGAAA